CCGGAUCUCAGAUCAAGUAAGAUUACCCGCCGAAUUUAAGCAUAUAAUUAAGCGGAGGAAAAGAAACUAACUAGGAUUCCCUCAGUAACGGCGAGUGAAGCGGGAUGAGCUCAGGAUGUAAAUCUGCGCUAUUAAAGCGCCGAAUUGUGGUCUGUAGACUUUGGUGUUAUCUGCCGGGCCAAGUUCCUUGGAAAAGGACAGCUGAGAGGGUGAGACUCCCGUCCGCCUGGUAGAGUGAGCCUUUGUCAAAGAGUCGAGUUGUUUGGGAUUGCAGCUCUAAUUUGGUGGUAAAUUCCAUCUAAAGCUAAAUAUUGGUGGGAGACCGAUAGCGUACAAGUACCGUGAGGGAAAGAUGCAAAGAACUUUGAAAAGAGAGUUAAAGAGUACCUGAAAUUGCUGAAACGGAAGCGAAGGAAACCAGUGUUUGUUUGUUCAUAUUUCCCUGACCACUUGUGGUUUGGGCGCUGUGGGCUUGCGUCGGUUUGCUUUGGUUAAUCCCUUUGGAAGAGCGCAGUCAGAGUUGAUGUCUGUUGCUAGCACUGGGUUUGACUUGAGUAGACGAAAUGGUUUUCUUUACCCGUCUUGACAC
rnacentral:rRNA from 1 species